rnacentral:rRNA from 1 species
GACGGAGGAUGCAAGUGUUAUCCGGAAUCACUGGGCGUAAAGCGUCUGUAGGUGGUUUAAUAAGUCAACUGUUAAAUCUUGAGGCCUAACCUCAAAACCGCAGUCGAAACUAUUAGACUAGAGUAUAGUAGGGGUAAAGGGAAUUUCCAGUGGAGCGGUGAAAUGCGUAGAGAUUGGAAAGAACACCGAUGGCGAAGGCACUUUACUGGGCUAUUACUAACACUGAGAGACGAAAGCUAGGGUAGCAAACAGG